GAUGAACGCUGGCGGCGUGCCUAAUACAUGCAAGUCGAGCGAACAGACGAGGAGCUUGCUCCUCUGACGUUAGCGGCGGACGGGUGAGUAACACGUGGAUAACCUACCUAUAAGACUGGGAUAACUUCGGGAAACCGGAGCUAAUACCGGAUAAUAUAUUGAACCGCAUGGUUCAAUAGUGAAAGACGGUUUUGCUGUCACUUAUAGAUGGAUCCGCGCCGCAUUAGCUAGUUGGUAAGGUAACGGCUUACCAAGGCGACGAUGCGUAGCCGACCUGAGAGGGUGAUCGGCCACACUGGAACUGAGACACGGUCCAGACUCCUACGGGAGGCAGCAGUAGGGAGUCUUCCGCAAUGGGCGAAAGCCUGACGGAGCAACGCCGCGUGAUUGAUGAAGGUCUUCGGAUCGUAAAACUCUGUUAUUAGGGAAGAACAAAUGUGUAAGUAACUAUGCACGUCUUGACGGUACCUAAUCAGAAAGCCACGGCUAACUACGUG
rnacentral:rRNA from 1 species